rnacentral:rRNA from 1 species
GAUGAACGCUGACAGAAUGCUUAACACAUGCAAGUCGAUGGGGAAGUGGUGCGUGCACCAUGGUAACCAUGGCGGACGGGUGAGUAACGCGUAAGGAACUUACCUGCUGGACCGGGAUAACAGCAGGAAACUGCUGACAAGACCGGAUAAGGUCAUUAAGCUGCAUAGCUUAGUGAUGAAAGGAGAAGCCUGCGGAGAGCCUUGCGUCCUAUUAGCUAGUUGGAGGGGUAACGGCCCACCAAGGCGAAGAUAGGUAGCCGGCCUGAGAGGGUGGACGGCCACAAGGGGACUGAGAUACGGCCCUUACACCUAAGGGAGGCAGCAGUGGGGAAUAUUGGACAAUGGGGCCAACACUGAUCCAGCAAUUCUGUGUGCACGAAGACGGUUUUCGGAUUGUAAAGUGCUUUCAGCAGGGAAGAAGGAAGUGACGGUACCUGCAGAAGAAGCGACGGCUAAAUACGUG